GUGCUUGCUUUGGCAGCUCAUAUACUAAAAUUGGAAGGGUACAGAAUGGAUUAGCAUAACCCCUGAGCAAAGACGACACACCAACUCAUGAAGUGUUUCAUAGUUUU
rnacentral:snRNA from 1 species